UACGUAGGGUGCGAGCGUUGUCCGGAAUUAUUGGGCGUAAAGAGCUCGUAGGCGGUCUGUCGCGUCGGUCGUGAAAACUUGGGGCUUAACCCUGAGCUUGCGGUCGAUACGGGCAUGACUGGAGUUCGGCAGGGGAGACUGGAAUUCCUGGUGUAGCGGUGAAAUGCGCAGAUAUCAGGAGGAACACCGGUGGCGAAGGCGGGUCUCUGGGCCGAUACUGACGCUGAGGAGCGAAAGCGUGGGGAGCAAACAGG
rnacentral:rRNA from 1 species